AUUGAACGCUGGCGGCAGGCCUAACACAUGCAAGUCGAGCGAGCGGCGGACGGGUGAGUACUGUCUGGGAAACUGCCUGAUGGAGGGGGAUAACUACUGGAAACGGUAGCUAAUACCGCAUACCAUCAGAUGUUCCCAGAUGGGAUUAGCUAGUAGGUGGGGUAAUGGCUCACCUAGGCGACGAUCCCUCGCUGGUCUGAGAGGGUGACCAGCCACACUGGAACUGAGACACGGUCCAGACUCCUACGUGAGGCAGCAGUGGGGAAUAUUGGACAAUGGGCGCAAGCCUGAUGCAGCCAUGCCGCGUGGGUGAAGAAGGCCUUCGGGUUGUAAAGCGCUGUCAGCGGGGAGGCGUUACCUGCAGAAGAAGCACCGGCUAACUCCGUGCCAGCAGCCGCGGUAAUUC
rnacentral:rRNA from 1 species